CGCGUAGGUGGUAGUGAAAGUCUAUGGUGGAAUCUUAGGGCUUAACCCUAAAACUGCCUUGGAAACUUCAUUACUUGAGUCAGUGAGGGGAGGGUAGAAUUCCUGGUGUAGCGGUGAAAUGCGUAGAUAUCAGGAGGAAGGCCGGUGGCGAAGGCGGCCCUCUGGCGCUGAACUGACGCUGAGGCGCGAAAGCGUGGGUAGCAAACAGGAUUAGAUACCCUGGUAGUCCACGCCCUAAACGGUGGGUACUAGGUGUAGGGCUCGUAAGGGUCCUGUGCCGAAGGGAAACCAUUAAGUACCCCGCCUGGGGAGUACGGCCGCAAGGUUGAA
rnacentral:rRNA from 1 species